UACGAUCCAAAGGGGUACCAAUUAUUUGUAAAUAUAAAUAGACUUUCCUGUAACUUAUUUUCACCAUAAAAAUCAUUUCACCAGUUUCUUUUCACGAAUACCGAGAGAAACCGAGCGGUGUUCUUCGUGUUCUUCAUAAUCAAACGAAGAUUUGAAGGUGUUAUUGGAAUCCGAUGGAGGCGUAUGAAUAGUCAAAACGAAGCUAUCGACGCGUAGAAUCCAGUUUAAUCAAUCAUAACCGUGCAGAUUUCACGGAAAGGCUUAAAGAUGAGAUGAUUGAUUGAGAUUGUGAAUAAGGCUAAUGCUAGGCGAGGAGACAGAGUUGAGGAUCCAGUGGUCGAGGAGUGUUCAGGAAAGUUGAUGAGGUUGGUGCAAGCUAGAGCUGUGCUAUAAGGAUUCAAGUGUAAGUCAUAGCUGGAAUAGUUGACAGUGAUUCUUCUUAUUGAGGAUGAUCUGAUUUGGUAAGAGAUGUUGUGUAAUAAUAGUGGUAGAUUCUAAUUUCAAUGCUGUAACCUGGAUGCGAUCCUGUUGCUUUUAGGGGGUUUAAAUGUUCUCUUUCGAAUCAGUUAUUAAAGUUUAAAUGUUCUCUUGAAAUU